rnacentral:lncRNA from 1 species
AUGUCUUCUCGCAGAAGCAAUCCAUCACUGCAUAAAAGUAUCCAUCUGCUGCGUCAAACAGAUGGUCGAUGUUGUCAUAAACUUGGAUGUCUGCGUCUAGGUAGAUCAUCUUGCUGUACUCCUCAAACUGUCAUGACCACAGUUAUUUGAUUAGUCACUCCUAAUAGUAACCCAAAUAUGAUUGCUCUAAAAUACAAAACAGAAAUGCUAGAACGGCUUAAACAUAGAGCUGUGGAUUAAGGAUUACUGUAACAUAUUAUAGCAUCACUCCUGAUUAUAUAGAUAGAGUGUGGCGGUGAUGGUUUUUUUCUUUUAUUGUUGUGGUGAAAUAAUGAAAUUAGGAUAUAAAAGGAUAUUUUCUGGCUUUUGCGUUUCUCAGCCUUUGUCUUGGGGCUUCUUUGUUUCUUAAGGAAGAUUCUAUCUAUCAAGUGCAGGUCAAGCUUAACCUAAGCUGAUCCAAGUGACAUGGGCCAUAGAAGAUUUUGGCACACAAACAGGAAGCAGAAACAGAUACGCUUCACUGAGUCAUGAUACCAUAGGCAGGCAAUGGCUAUGCACACAUCUGGUAGACCUAUUAGACUAAGACUUGAAAUGUUUUUCAGGUUUACUUACGUUCCAUAUGCGGAGCUUGGAAUAAUUGAUGACAUAGUAAGCCAUAGCAAACUGAAUCUGAUUUUCAGGAG